GACGAACGCUGGCGGCGUGCUUAACACAUGCAAGUCGAACGGAAAGGCCCUGCUUUUGUGGGGUGCUCGAGUGGCGAACGGGUGAGUAACACGUGAGUAACCUGCCCUUGACUUUGGGAUAACUUCAGGAAACUGGGGCUAAUACCGGAUAGGAGCUCCUGCUGCAUGGUGGGGGUUGGAAAGUUUCGGCGGUUGGGGAUGGACUCGCGGCUUAUCAGCUUGUUGGUGGGGUAGUGGCUUACCAAGGCUUUGACGGGUAGCCGGCCUGAGAGGGUGACCGGCCACAUUGGGACUGAGAUACGGCCCAGACUCCUACGGGAGGCAGCAGUGGGGAAUAUUGCACAAUGGGCGGAAGCCUGAUGCAGCAACGCCGCGUGCGGGAUGACGGCCUUCGGGUUGUAAACCGCUUUCGCCUGUGACGAAGCGUGAGUGACGGUAAUGGGUAAAGAAGCACCGGCUAACUACGUGCCAGCAGCCGCGGUGAUACGUAGGGUGCGAGCGUUGUCCGGACUUAUUGGGCGUAAAGGGCUCGUAGGUGGUUGAUCGCGUCGGAAGUGUAAUCUUGGGGCUUAACCCUGAGCGUGCUUUCGAUACGGGUUGACUUGAGGAAGGUAGGGGAGAAUGGAAUUCCUGGUGGAGCGGUGGAAUGCGCAGAUAUCAGGAGGAACACCAGUGGCGAAGGCGGUUCUCUGGGCCUUUCCUGACGCUGAGGAGCGAAAGCGUGGGGAGCGAACAGGCUUAGAUACCCUGGUAGUCCACGCUGUAAACGGUGGGUACUAGGUGUGGGGUCCAUUCCACGGGUUCCGUGCCGUAGCUAACGCUUUAAGUACCCCGCCUGGGGAGUACGGCCGCAAGGCUAAAACUCAAAGGAAUUGACGGGGCCCCGCACAAGCGGCGGAGCAUGCGGAUUAAUUCGAUGCAACGCGUAGAACCUUACCUGGGUUUGACAUGGAUCGGGAGCGCUCAGAGAUGGGUGUGCCUCUUUUGGGGUCGGUUCACAGGUGGUGCAUGGCUGUCGUCAGCUCGUGUCGUGAGAUGUUGGGUUAAGUCCCGCAACGAGCGCAACCCUUGUUCACUGUUGCCAGCACGUUAUGGUGGGGACUCAGUGGAGACCGCCGGGGUCAACUCGGAGGAAGGUGGGGAUGACGUCAAGUCAUCAUGCCCCUUAUGUCCAGGGCUUCACGCAUGCUACAAUGGCUGGUACAGAGAGUGGCGAGCCUGUGAGGGUGAGCGAAUCUCGGAAAGCCGGUCUCAGUUCGGAUUGGGGUCUGCAACUCGACCUCAUGAAGUCGGAGUCGCUAGUAAUCGCAGAUCAGCAACGCUGCGGUGAAUACGUUCCCGGG
rnacentral:rRNA from 1 species